GACGAACGCUGGCGGCGUGCCUAAUACAUGCAAGUCGAACGCAGUGGGGACGGGUGAGUAACACGUGGGUAACCUCCCAUCAGAGGGGAUAACACUUGGAAACAGGUGCUAAACCGCUACUGAUGGAUCAACCCGCGGUGCAUUAGCUGGUUGGGGGGGUAACGGCUCACCAAGGCCACGAUGCAUAGCCGGCCUGAGAGGGUGAUCGGCCACACUGGGACUGGGACACGGUCCAGAUUCCUACGGGAGGCAGCAGUAGGGAAUCUUCUGCAAUGGGCGAAAGUAUGACGGAGCAAUGCCGCGUGAGUGAAGAAGGUGUUCGGAUCGUAAAACUCUGUUGUUAGAGAAGCGGUAUCUAACCAGGAAGCCACGGCUAACUACGUGCCAGCAGCCGCGGUAAUUC
rnacentral:rRNA from 1 species